rnacentral:rRNA from 1 species
UACAGAGGUCUCAAGCGUUGUUCGGAUUCAUUGGGCGUAAAGGGUGCGUAGGCGGUGGGGUAAGUUGGAUGUGAAAUCUUGGGGCUUAACCUCAAAAUUGCAUUCAAUACUGCUCCGCUCGAGUUCUGUAGAGGAGAUUGGAAUUUACGGUGAGCAGUGAAAUGCGUAGACAGUCGAUAAGGAACGCCAGUGGCGAAAGCGAAUCUCUGGG